GCCUGGGUGGCUCAGUCGGUUGAGCAUCUGACUUUAGCUCAGGUCGUGAUCUCACGGUUCGUGAGUUCGAGCCCUGUGUCAGGCU
rnacentral:tRNA from 1 species